AUGGCAAGGCAAGGCUGGGUAUGGAGAGGCCGGGGCUUCGGCCAGGCGUGGGUUCUGCCCACGGACAUGCCCUGCUGCGGGGAGCUCCCAUUAGCUGGGUCGCCGCAGCGGCUCCAACGCAGGUUUUACUUCUUUAUUCAGCAAAAAUAUGGAUUCAGAAAAGCUCCAAGGAAGGUUGAACCUCGAAGACCAGAUACAGGAUCAAGUGGUGAAUCAUAGAAAAGAAGUGCUUUGAGCCCUCCUAUAGAAGAGACAGUCUUUACCCUUCUCCCUACCCUUAAGACCUCUUGGGAAACCUUUAUUUUCACUGUUGGGUUUACAGGCUGUGCAUUUGGAUCAGCUGCUAUUUGGCAAUAUGAAUCACUGAAAUCCAGGGUCCAGAGUUAUUUCAAUGGAAUAAAAGCUGACUGGUUGGAUAGCAUAAGACCACAGAAAGAAGGAGACUUCAGAAAGAUUAGCAAGUGGUGGAAUAGCCUAAGUGAUGGCCAGCAUACUGUGACGGGUGUCACAGCUGCAGAUGUCCUUGUGUUCUGCUUAUGGAGAGUACCAUCACUACAUUGAACAAUGAUCAGAUAUUUUACAUCCGAUCCAGCAUCAAGUGUUAUUUCCAAUUUUGUCAGUUAUGUGUGUAAAGUUGCCACGGGACGAUAUGGAUCUUCACUUGGAAAUGCCCUAAAAGCCGUCAAUGCAGUGGAUACAGCUGGGAUGAUCUUGGGAUGGAAAUUUUUUGAUCAUGCAGCACAUCUUGGAGGCCCUCUCUUUGGAACUGGUACAUUACUUAUGGUCAUGAACUCAUUUGGAAGAACAGGGAGCCUCUAGUGAAACUAUGGCAUGAAAUGAGGACUAAUGGCCCCAAGAAAGGAGGUGGCUCUAAGUAAAG